ACGCUUUCUAGUGGGCGAGCAGACGAACUCACCCACCCACCAACUAACCCCGUCCGGACGCCGAGCCGCCGCCGGAGGAAUCUCUCGCCAUGGCGCCGCCGCCCGCCACCGCCACCGCCACCGCCGCGGCGGCCGCCGCCGUCCGCCCGCACGUGCUCCUCCGACGCGGCGGUGGCCUCCUCCCUUCGCCGCCAUGCCCCGCCACGCUCCCCUUCGCCUCGCGAGGCGCGGCCGCGCGGCGCCUCCGCCUCCCGCCGCCGCGGUUCUCUCUCUCGACCGUCCCGAAGAGCCUCUCCGCUGCCUCCCACGUCCCCGUACGGUCCCUCUUCACCGGUAUCGUCGAGGAGGUGGGCCGCGUGCGCCGCCUCGGCCCCCCGCUUGCGCCGUCCGGCGGCGGCGGCGGCGGCGGCGAGGCUCCCGGCCUCGACCUGGAGGUCGAGACGAAGAGCCUCCUCGCCGGGACGCAGCUCGGGGAUAGCGUCGCGGUCGACGGCACCUGCCUCACCGUGGCGGCGAUCGAUCCGGCCGCGUCCACGCUCACCUUCGGCGUCGCGCCGGAGACGCUCCGCCGGACGUCGCUGGGCGAGCGCGCCCCGGGCGACGGCGUCAACCUCGAGCGCGCGCUCACGCCGUCGUCCCGGAUGGGGGGACACUUCGUGCAGGGCCACGUGGACGGCACCGGCGAGAUCGCCGCGUUCCGACCCGACGGGGACUCGCUCUGGGUCACCGUGCGCGCGCCGCCGGAGAUCCUCAGGCUGCUCGUGCCCAAGGGCUUUGUCGCCGUCGACGGGACCAGCCUCACCGUCGUCAGCGUCGACGACCAGGGCGGGUGGUUUGACUUCAUGCUCGUGAGGUACACGCAGGACAACAUCGUGCUGCCGACCAAGAAGGUCGGCGACAAGGUGAACCUGGAGGCGGAUAUACUGGGGAAGUACGUCGAGAAGCUCCUUGCUGGGAGGUUGGAGGCCAUGGUGAAGGCGGAUUCUUGAGUAGCCAUCGUGGAGCUGCUGAAUUGCUCGUCAUUCUAUAGGUAUUAUGGCAAGAGAUGGAGGAGGACUUGGAUUUGAUGCCUGCGCCGACUCAGCUUGGGUCCUAAGAGGGAGACGAAGGCACUUCACCAAUUUUACGCAUGAAGUUUUUGUUAAGACGUUUGGGAGCUGUUCAUUUGGUUCCUGCAACCUGCAACUGCAGCAUGAGAUUCUACUGCACCUCCCCCUCUGCUGUUUGGUUCGUGAGGCCUGAGCUUUUGUGAUUGGAACAAUGGAAUAUAUCAAUAUAAGGCUUAGCUACCAUCGUACAACUCCUUUUGAAAUUGCAGCUGUCUGUGUAAACCCUUUCAUUGACUCCAGAAAAUAAGACAGCGUUGACUGUUGCUGCAGUA